rnacentral:lncRNA from 1 species
UGAGCAUGUGGACUUAGGAUGGUUUGAGAUGUCAAUUCAAAAACCUAUAAAGAAUCUAAUGCCAAUAAAAAGAAGUAUGUCAUAGAUAUUUUAAUUAAUACCACAACUACUUAUGAUCUCACUAAAGAACAAUGUUAUUUUUUCCUAAGCCAAGCUAUAGACCUCAACACUUUAAUAUAGAUUUUUGGCAUAAGCCUUAAUGUUCAAAAGUGUUUUUAUGACCAUAUUACUACUUUGAAAUUAAAAAACAAUACUCAAGGAGGAAUAGAUCCUAAACUUAUUAAGGUUGAUGAAUUUGAGUUAUUUUUUUGCUUACAUAAGAAUGCAUAUAAUGAGCUACAAGCUCAACAUGUCUUUGCAGUUUUAGCUAAAGGCUUAGAAAAAAAUAAAUACUCAAAAGAUUCUAUUAUGAGAUUUUUUUGGAAUAAAC